AUUGAACGCUGGCGGAAUGCUUUACACAUGCAAGUCGAACGGCAGCACGGGGGCAACCCUGGUGGCGAGUGGCGAACGGGUGAGUAAUACAUCGGAACGUGCCCAGUCGUGGGGGAUAACGUAGCGAAAGUUACGCUAAUACCGCAUACGAUCUACGGAUGAAAGCGGGGGACCGUAAGGCCUCGCGCGAUUGGAGCGGCCGAUGUCAGAUUAGGUAGUUGGUGAGGUAAAGGCUCACCAAGCCGACGAUCUGUAGCUGGUCUGAGAGGACGACCAGCCAAACUGGGACUGAGACACGGCCCAGACUCCUUCGGGAGGCAGCAGUGGGGAAUUUUGGACAGUGGGCGCAAGCCUGAUCCAGCCAUUCCGCGUGCAGGACGAAGGCCUUCGGGUUGUAAACUGCUUUUGUACGGAACGAAAAGGCUCUGGUUAAUACCUGGGGCUCAUGACGGUACCGUAAGAAUAAGCACCGGCUAACUACGUGCCAGCCGCCGCCGUAA
rnacentral:rRNA from 1 species